rnacentral:rRNA from 1 species
GAACCACCAGUGGGGAAGGCUGUUUGGGCUAGAACAUGCCCGACGUUGAGGGAUGAAAGCUGGGGGAGCGAACCGGAUUAGAUACCCGGGUAGUCCCAGCUGUAAACGAUGCAGGCUAAGUGUUAGGGCGGCCACGUGCCGCUCUAGUGCCGCAGGGAAGCUGUUAAGCCUGCCGCCUGGGGAGUACGGCCGCAAGGCUGAAACUUAAAGGAAUUGGCGGGGGAGCACCACAAGGGGUGAAGCUUGCGGUUUAAUUGGAUUCAACGCCGGA